GGUUAAGCGACUAAGCGUACACGGUGGAUGCCCUGGCAGUCAGAGGCGAUGAAGGACGUGCUAAUCUGCGAUAAGCGUCGGUAAGGUGAUAUGAACCGUUAUAACCGACGAUUUCCGAAUGGGGAAACCCAGUGUGUUUCG
rnacentral:rRNA from 1 species